AGUCUCUUUCUGAUAUUAUUAAGAUGUUCUAAUAGGCGAACCUUCAGAGGAUUUUGAAGGUUCGCCUAUUAGAACAUCUUAAUAAUAUCAGAAAGA